rnacentral:rRNA from 1 species
GAUGAACGCUGGCGGCGUGCCUAAUACAUGCAAGUCGAGCGAACAGACGAGGAGCUUGCUCCUCUGACGUUAGCGGCGGACGGGUGAGUAACACGUGGAUAACCUACCUAUAAGACUGGGAUAACUUCGGGAAACCGGAGCUAAUACCGGAUAAUAUAUUGAACCGCAUGGUUCAAUAGUGAAAGACGGUUUUGCUGUCACUUAUAGAUGGAUCCGCGCUGCAUUAGCUAGUUGGUAAGGUAACGGCUUACCAAGGCAACGAUGCGUAGCCGACCUGAGAGGGUGAUCGGCCACAAUGGAACUGAGACACGGUCCAGACUCCUACGGGAGGCAGCAGUAGGGAAUCUGCCGCAAUGGGCGAAAGCCUGACGGAGCAACGCCGCGUGAGUGAUGAAGGUCUUCGGAUCGUAAAACUCUGUUAUUAGGGAAGAACAAAUGUGUAAGUAACUAUGCACGUCUUGACGGUACCUAAUCAGAAAGCCACGGCUAACUACGUG